rnacentral:rRNA from 1 species
GCCAAUGUCCAUACCAUGUUGAAUACACCGGUUCUCGUCCGAUCACCGAAGUCAAGCAACAUCGGGGCGUGGUCAGUACUUGGAU